rnacentral:rRNA from 1 species
CCGUAGAGGUGGAGCGAAUCACAAAACUCGGUCUCAGUUCAGAUUGCAGGCUGCAACUCGCCUGCAUGAAGUUGGAAUUGCUAGUAAUCGCGAAUCAGAAUGUCGCGGUGAAUACGUUCCCGGGCCUUGUACACACCGCCCGUCACACCAUGAGAGUCGAUAACCACCCGAAGCCUGUGAGCUUAACCUUUUAGGAGGCAGCAGUCGAAGGUGGGGUUGAUGAUUGGGGUGAAGUCGUAACAAGGUAAC